AUACAACAUCGCUGGCCUUAUUGCCGUCCUAUAAAAUUUUCCCUUGAGCUUCAGUGACCUACGACGGUCACACAACACGCCGGAUGCACUCUUACACUUCAUCCAUCAUCCAUCCAGCUUGUAUUCUAUGGUUGAGAUCUCCAUCUAAUUCUCCGUUCUCUUGCAAGAUAGAUCCUAGGUAGCGAAAACGGUCGCUUUUUGUGAUCUUCGCUAGAUUGCUCCGGUCAUUAGUGUGGAUAAGU
rnacentral:lncRNA from 1 species